GUUAGUAAUUGGCUCUCAGGCUCCAUGUUCUCAUUGCAAAGUGCUUGACUCACCUUGUUUUCUUGUACCAUAGGUCUCCCGGACUCUCCAUGGCUCUUACUUUGCACUUCAUCUCUGCACUCGGACCGUGGAUAAGAAACUCCACUCGGGAAAGUGCUCUGUUCCUCACCUGCCUGCCAUCCAGCCAUCACACGCCAUUGGAACAUGCAGUACUCAGGUUUCUGGAUUUUUGGCCCCUGUGACAUCUUUCAUGUCCUGAAUCUGUUUGGAAUACACCAUGUGAUGGUCACAACACGAAGCUAUUUUAUUCUUCAUUUAUCAGCAGUGAUGGGAAUAACAGCAUUACAACUUAUCACACAUUUGAUUUCCACGUGUGACAACUGCAAGUGUC